rnacentral:rRNA from 1 species
GGUGAAAAGCACCCCGGAAGGGGAGUGAAAUAGAACCUGAAACCGUGUGCUUACAAGUAGUCAGAGCCCGUUAAUGGGUGAUGGCGUGCCUUUUGUAGAAUGAACCGGCGAGUUACGAUUUGAUGCAAGGUUAAGCAGUAAAUGUGGAGCCGUAGCGAAAGCGAGUCUGAAUAGGGCGUUUAGUAUUUGGUCGUAGACCCGAAACCAGGUGAUCUACCCUUGGUCAGGUUGAAGUUCAGGUAACACUGAAUGGAGGACCGAACCGACUUACGUUGAAAAGUGAGCGGAUGAACUGAGGGUAGCGGAGAAAUUCCAAUCGAACCUGGAGAUAGCUGGUUCUCUCCGAAAUAGCUUUAGGGCUAGCCUCAAGUGAUGAUUAUUGGAGGUAGAGCACUGUUUGGACGAGGGGCCCCUCUCGGGUUACCGAAUUCAGACAAACUCCGAAUGCCAAUUAAUUUAACUUGGGAGUCAGAACAUGGGUGAUAAGGUCCGUGUUCGAAAGGGAAACAGCCCAGACCACCAGCUAAGGUCCCAAAAUAUAUGUUAAGUGGAAAAGGAUGUGGCGUUGCCCAGACAACUAGGAUGUUGGCUUAGAAGCAGCCAUCAUUUAAAGAGUGCGUAAUAGCUCACUAGUCGAGUGACACUGCGCCGAAAAUGUACCGGGGCUAAACAUAUUACCGAAGCUGUGGAUUGUCCUUUGGACAAUGGUAGGAGAGCGUUCUAAGGGCGUUGAAGCAUGAUCGUAAGGACAUGUGGAGCGCUUAGAAGUGAGAAUGCCGGUGUGAGUAGCGAAAGACGGGUGAGAAUCCCGUCCACCGAUUGACUAAGGUUUCCAGAGGAAGGCUCGUCCGCUCUGGGUUAGUCGGGUCCUAAGCUGAGGCCGACAGGCGUAGGCGAUGGAUAACAGGUUGAUAUUCCUGUACCACCUAUAAUCGUUUUAAUCGAUGGGGGGACGCAGUAGGAUAGGCGAAGCGUGCGAUUGGAUUGCACGUCUAAGCAGUAAGGCUGAGUAUUAGGCAAAUCCGGUACUCAUUAAGGCUGAGCUGUGAUGGGGAGAAGACAUUGUGUCUUCGAGUCGUUGAUUUCACACUGCCGAGAAAAGCCUCUAGAUAGAAAAUAGGUGCCCGUACCGCAAACCGACACAGGUAGUCAAGAUGAGAAUUCUAAGGUGAGCGAGCGAACUCUCGUUAAGGAACUCGGCAAAAUGACCCCGUAACUUCGGGAGAAGGGGUGCUCUUUAGGGUUAACGCCCAGAAGAGCCGCAGUGAAUAGGCCCAAGCGACUGUUUAUCAAAAACACAGGUCUCUGCUAAACCGUAAGGUGAUGUAUAGGGGCUGACGCCUGCCCGGUGCUGGAAGGUUAAGAGGAGUGGUUAGCUUCUGCGAAGCUACGAAUCGAAGCCCCAGUAAACGGCGGCCGUAACUAUAACGGUCCUAAGGUAGCGAAAUUCCUUGUCGGGUAAGUUCCGACCCGCACGAAAGGCGUAACGAUUUGGGCACUGUCUCAACGAGAGACUCGGUGAAAUCAUAGUACCUGUGAAGAUGCAGGUUACCCGCGACAGGACGGAAAGACCCCGUGGAGCUUUACUGUAGCCUGAUAUUGAAAUUCGGCACAGCUUGUACAGGAUAGGUAGGAGCCUUUGAAACGUGAGCGCUAGCUUACGUGGAGGCGCUGGUGGGAUACUACCCUAGCUGUGUUGGCUUUCUAACCCGCACCACUUAUCGUGGUGGGAGACAGUGUCAGGCGGGCAGUUUGACUGGGGCGGUCGCCUCCUAAAAGGUAACGGAGGCGCUCAAAGGUUCCCUCAGAAUGGUUGGAAAUCAUUCAUAGAGUGUAAAGGCAUAAGGGAGCUUGACUGCGAGACCUACAAGUCGAGCAGGGUCGAAAGACGGACUUAGUGAUCCGGUGGUUCCGCAUGGAAGGGCCAUCGCUCAACGGAUAAAAGCUACCCCGGGGAUAACAGGCUUAUCUCCCCCAAGAGUUCACAUCGACGGGGAGGUUUGGCACCUCGAUGUCGGCUCAUCGCAUCCUGGGGCUGUAGUCGGUCCCAAGGGUUGGGCUGUUCGCCCAUUAAAGCGGUACGCGAGCUGGGUUCAGAACGUCGUGAGACAGUUCGGUCCCUAUCCGUCGUGGGCGUAGGAAAUUUGAGAGGAGCUGUCCUUAGUACGAGAGGACCGGGAUGGACAUACCUCUGGUGUACCAGUUGUCGUGCCAACGGCAUAGCUGGGUAGCUAUGUGUGGACGGGAUAAGUGCUGAAAGCAUCUAAGCAUGAAGCCCCCCUCAAGAUGAGAUUUCCCAACUUCGGUUAUAAGAUCCC